GAAACGACUGCUAAGACUGGAUAGGAAACAAAAAGGCAUCUUUUUGUUUUUAAAAGACCUUCUUAUGAAGGUAUGCUUAAAGAGGGGCUUGCGCCACAUUAGUUAGUUGGUAGGGUAAAAGCCUACCAAGACGAUGAUGUGUAGCUGGACUGAGAGGUUGAACAGCCACAUUGGGACUGAGACACGGCCCAAACUCCUACGGGAGGCAGCAGUAGGGAAUUUUCGGCAAUGGAGGAAACUCUGACCGAGCAACGCCGCGUGAACGAUGAAGUAUUUCGGUAUGUAAAGUUCUUUUAUUGAAGAAGAAAAAGUAGUGGAAAAACUAUAUUGACGUUAUUCAAUGAAUAAGCCCCGGCUAACUAUGUGCCAGCAGCCGCGGUAAGACAUAGGGGGCGAGCGUUAUCCGGAAUUAUUGGGCGUAAAGGGUGCGUAGGCUGUUAGAUAAGUCUAUAAUUUAAUUUCAGUGCUUAACGCUGUCUUGUUAUAGAAACUGUCUUGACUAGAGUGAGAUAGAGGCAAGCGGAAUUCCAUGUGUAGCGGUAAAAUGUGUAAAUAUAUGGAGGAACACCAGAAGCGUAGGCGGCUUGCUGGGUCUUUACUGACGCUGAGGCACGAAAGCGUGGGUAGCAAACAGGAUUAGAUACCCUGGUAGUCCACGCCGUAAACGAUGAGUACUAAGUGUCGGGGUAAAACUCGGUACUGAAGUUAACACAUUAAGUACUCCGCCUGAGUAGUACGUACGCAAGUAUGAAACUUAAAGGAAUUGACGGGACUCCGCACAAGCGGUGGACCAUGUUGUUUAAUUCGAAGAUACACGAAAAAUCUUACCAGGUCUUGACAUACUCUGCAAAGCUAUAGAAAUAUAGUGGAGGUUAUCAGGGAUACAGGUGGUGCAUGGUUGUCGUCAGUUCGUGUCGUGAGAUGUUAGGUUAAGUCCUAAAACGAGCGCAACCCUUGUCGUUAAUUGCCAGCACGUAAUGGUGGGGACUUUAGCGAGACUGCCAAUUAAACAUUGGAGGAAGGUGAGGAUUACGUCAAAUCAUCAUGCCCCUUAUGAUCUGGGCUACAAACGUGAUACAAUGGCUGUGACAAAGAGUAGCUGAAACGCGAGUUUUUAGCCAAUCUCAAAAAAGCAGUCUCAGUUCGGAUUGAAGUCUGUAACUCGACUUCAUGAAGUUGGAAUCGCUAGUAAUCGCGAAUCAGCAUGUCGCGGUGAAUACGUUCUCGGGGUUUGUACACACCGCCCGUCA
rnacentral:rRNA from 1 species